UACAGAGGUCUCAAGCGUUAAUCGGAAUUACUGGGCUUAAAGGGUCCGCAGGCGGCCUGACAAGUAUCUUGUGAAAUCCUAUGUCUCAACCAUGGAAUCGCUCGAUAAACUGUCAGGCUUGAGUGCAAAAGGGGUCGCUGGAACUCUAGGUGGAGCGGUGAAAUGCGUAGAUAUCUAGAGGAACGCCAAAGGUGAAGACAGGCGACUGGUUUGCAACUGACGCUCAUGGACGAAAGCGUGGGGAUCAAACGGG
rnacentral:rRNA from 1 species